GUAGGUGAACCUGCGGAUGGAUCAUUAUCACGUAUCCACGUAUAAACCAUUGUGAACUGUAACAUUUGCCCUAUGAAAGGAACUUUGUGAUUGGGGGACGAUGACUUCGGUUGUUAUUCCCUGUCUUUUCAUAGUGUAAUUAAUCACUUAAUUAACAAUUUUAACAUUUUAAUUUAAUUAUUGAACUGAUUUUAUUUCUUACUCUUUCACGAGAGAAGAAAUUUCAUUACGAAACAUAAGAACAACUCUUAGCAACGGAUAUCUUGGUUCUC
rnacentral:misc_RNA from 1 species